rnacentral:ncRNA from 1 species
CGUGCCGCAGCUAACGCAUUAAGUGCCCCGCCUGGGGAGUACGGCCGCAAGGCUAAAACUCAAAGGAAUUGACGGGGGGCCCGCACAAGCGGCGGAGCAUGCGGAUUAAUUCGAUGCAACGCGAAGAACCUUACCAAGGCUUGACAUACACCGGAAACGUCCAGAGAUGGGCGCCCCCGCAAGGUCGGUGUACAGGUGGUGCAUGGUUGUCGUCAGCUCGUGUCGUGAGAUGUUGGGUUAAGUCCCGCAACGAGCGCAACCCUUGUCCUGUGUUGCCAGGGGGUUAUGCCGGGGACUCAUGGGAGACUGCCGGGGGUCAACUCGGAGGAAGGUGGGGGAUGACGUCAAAUCAUCAUGCCCCUUAUGUCUUGGGCUUCACGCAUGCUACAAUGGCCGGUACAAAGGGCGGCGAUGCCGUAAGGUGGAGCGAAUCCCAAAAAGCCGGUCUCAGUUCGGAUUGGGGUCUGCAACUCGAC